CGACCCUCGGCCGAGGGGGCUCUGCUGUUCCUUCCGGUGCAGGUGAGCUGCCUCGGGGGAAGAUUUAUGCUCCGUUGCACGACUGGACGAAGCGUGGCCCGCUGUGCUGUCAGCAGAGCGGCUCUGCCUGGCCCCGCUUCGGCCGCAGGCCUGGCCAGGCAGGUGUUCUGCAGGAAGGCGUCAGCCCGAGAAGGCAAAGAGUCAUUCCAGGAGAAGUCCGGCUCGGCCCGGCUUGCCACACGGGCUGUAUGAGGAGCCCGUGAAGGGGAGCUGCAGGGAACACGACGGGGCUGAGGCUCAGCCACGCAGCAUCAGCCUCUGUGAGCGCAGCAGGCGUGUGAUGGUAAUUUAGUCUCUGGGAAUCUUUCCAGUAGAUGAACAGAAAAAGAGCAGGAGCGGGGUGAUUUCUGAGGCAGGCUCGUUCUGCUGGUGAAAGGGAAUCUCAGAAGUGCCCCCUCCCUUCCCCACGGUAGUGUCAACACCUUUCUUUUUCUGGUUUCCCCUCGAGUUGCUGAUUGUUCUCUUCCCUAGAGCAGUUCAACGGGUAGAAACAUAGCGAGGGCAUUGGCAGCUUUUACCUCGGCAUCAUCCAGCCCUGCUGGAGAGGCACUCGACACACAACAGUGGUAAAAUUGCUGGCAGAGGUACAGCCCCGCUCGCGCUGGCUCUCCCGUCGCUCCUGCCGCCAGACAGAGGGAAAUGUACGCCUCGGAGUCUGGAGUUAGAGGAGUCAAAGAGACUGUGAAUCCUCCGAGAGGGUGAUAUUUCCAGGACUUGGCAUUUAGAGUGGCAACAGGGUUGUUUUUAGGAAGAGAAGGGAAAAGAUGGAAGGAUGAUGUUGACCCAGCAGCCCCACAAAGCUACCGCACUUAAUCCACUUAUCGCUGUGAAUUCCUGAAGCAGAUAAAUGCUGAUAACAGUUAAAACACAUUACUGACAGGAGCAGCAUGUUCUGUCCUCUAGAAAUACAUCAAUGUUGGAAAUUGCAAAGCUGUGUGUUACCACGGGGAUGAGCAUGAUAGAAGAGCAGAGGAGGCCCUCACUGUUCAGCAGAGCUCUUCCACAGGAGGGCAAAACAGAGGAUUCCAUGCUUGAGUGUUCUCAUAAAGGAGGAGUUUAAUGUUGCUACUCUGCCCUGAAUCCACACCCCGUGGCACUGCUCAGUAGCUUCCUAAUGUGAACAAAGCACUUGAUUAAGAUAAGUAGAAGUAACGUGCCCUUAUUCCAAAACCUGGAUGGUCCAUGCAGUGAGAUAUUCAGGAAUAGCUGUUCCAAAACAACUGCGUAAACAAAUCCUUGCAAAAUUAUGGUAAAAAUCCCACUGUGCCACUUUUAAGCUU